rnacentral:lncRNA from 1 species
UGUCAUGUCCUAAGUCAUAGAAUUUUUAUUAGGACGUGAAAAAUGUAAUUUUGUUUUUAUUGGAUCGAUCAUGCAGAAGGUUGUUGUUUGGUGAUUGCAAUAACCUUCUUAUUUUUGUUUUUGGAUAAGCAUUGUAAAUUCUUUUUGUAUUUUGUCAUGAAAUCGCCAAAGGGGGAGAUUGUUAAGGAUUUUAUAAGUUGGCGAAUUUCGUGAAGUAUUGAAUGGAGUCUCGAAGAAUUAGAAGAUGAAGAUUGACGAAAAGAAUUGAAGUUUUUGUGAUCAAAGACCCUUGAGAUCUCAGGUAUGAUUAUAAAUAAUUUGUGGUGAAGUUUUCAUUGUUAAAAGAUGUUUAGAAGACUUGGUUUCUUUUUGAUUUAUUCAAACUUAAGUUUUCUGAAAA